UGCGUAGGUGGUCUUGUAAGUCAGAAGUGAAGGGCUACGGCUUAACCGUAGUAAGCUUUUGAAACUGCAGGACUUGAGUGCAGGAGAGGAAAGUGGAAUUCCUAGUGUAGCGGUGAAAUGCGUAGAUAUUAGGAGGAACACCAGUGGCGAAGGCGACUUUCUGGACUGUUACUGACACUGAGGCACGAAAGCGUGGGGAGCGAACA
rnacentral:rRNA from 1 species